rnacentral:misc_RNA from 1 species
GUAUUUUGUUAAGAAAACAACGACAUUCAUUGACGACAUUAGAGUUUGUAGUAGCGUCCGAAGACGACAGUUCACGGUUGUGUAUGAAGAAUGUAUAGUUCUUCAGUAAUGAUCCUUCCGCAGGUUCACCUACGGAAA